UACGUAGGGGGCUAGCGUUGUCCGGAAUCAUUGGGCGUAAAGCGCGUGUAGGCGGUUCGGUAAGUCCGCUGUGAAAGUCGGGGGCUCAACCCUCGGAUGCCGGUGGAUACUGUCGGACUAGAGUACGGAAGAGGCGAGUGGAAUUCCUGGUGUAGCGGUGAAAUGCGCAGAUAUCAGGAGGAACACCGAUUGCGAAGGCAGCUCGCUGGGACGUUACUGACGCUGAGACGCGAAAGCCAGGGGAGCAAACGGG
rnacentral:rRNA from 1 species